UGAUGAUGAUGAUGAUGAUGAUGAUGAUGCUGAAGACCCAUGGCAAUGGGAACAGCCCAGCCCCCUAUUAUCACUCACAACACUACAGAGCUACAGUAUCCAGAACAACCCCAUAUUAUCACUCACAACACUACAGAGCUAUAGUAUCCAUAACAGCCCCAUGUUAUCACUCACAACACUAUAGAGCUAUAGUAUCCAGAACAGCACCCUAUUAUCACUCACAACACUACAGAGCUGUAGUAUCUAGAACAGCCCAGCCCCCUAUUAUCACUCACAACACUAGAGAGCUAUAGUAUCCAGAAUAGCACCCUAUUAUCACUCACAACACUACAGAGCUAUAGUAUCCAGAACAGCCCCUUAUUAUCACUCACAACACUACAGAGCUAUAGUAUCCAGAACAGCCCCCUAUUAUCACUCACAACACUACAGAGCUAUAGUAUACAGAACAGCCCCAUAUUAUCACUCACAACACUAUAGAGCUAUAGUAUCCAGAACAGCCCCCUAUUAUCACUCACAGCACUACAGAGCUAUAGUAUCUAGAACAGCCCAGCCCCCUAUUAUCACUCACAACACUACAGAGCUAUAGUAUCCAGAACAGCCCCCUAUUAUCACUCACAACACUACAGAGCUAUAGUAUCCAGAACAGCCCCAUAUUAUCACUCACAACACUACAGAGCUAUAGUAUCCAGAACAGCACCCUAUUAUCACUCACAACACUACAGAACUAUAGUAUCCAGAACAGCACAGCCCCCUAUUACUACUCACAACACUACAGAGCUAUAGUAUCCAGAACAGCCCCCUAAUAUCACUCACAACACUACAGAGCUAUAGUAUCUAGAACAGCCCAAUAUUAUCACUCACAACACUAUAGAGCUAUAGUAUCCAGAACAGCCCCAUAUUAUCACUCACAACAUUACAGAGCUAUAGUAUCUAGAACAGCCCAGCCCCCUAUUAUCACUCACAACACUACAGAGCUACAGUAUCCAGAACAACCCCAUAUUAUCACUCACAACACUACAGAGCUAUAGUAUCCAUAACAGCCCCAUGUUAUCACUCACAACACUAUAGAGCUAUAGUAUCCAGAACAGCACCCUAUUAUCACUCACAACACUACAGAGCUGUAGUAUCUAGAACAGCCCAGCCCCCUAUUAUCACUCACAACACUAGAGAGCUAUAGUAUCCAGAAUAGCACCCUAUUAUCACUCACAACACUAUAGAGCUAUAGUAUCCAGAACAGCCCCUUAUUAUCACUCACAACACUACAGAGCUAUAGUAUCCAGAACAGCCCCCUAUUAUCACUCACAACACUACAGAUCUAUAGUAUCUAGAACAGCCCCAUAUUAUCACUCACAACACUAUAGAGCUAUAGUAUCCAGAACAGCCCCCUAUUAUCACUCACAGCACUACAGAGCUAUAGUAUCUAGAACAGCCCAGCCCCCUAUUAUCACUCCCAGCACUACAGAGCUAUAGUAUUCACAACAGCCCCCUAUUAUCACUCACAACACUACAGAGCUAUAGUAUCCAGAACAGCCCCUUAUUAUCACUCACAACACUAUAGAGCUAUAGUAUCCAAAACAGCCCCCUAUUAUCACUCACAACACUACAGAGCUAUAGUAUCCAGAACAGCCCCUUAUUAUCACUCACAACAUUAUAGAGCUAUAGUAUCCAGAACAGCCCCCUAUUAUCACUCACAACACUACAGAGCUAUUGUAUCUAGAACAGCCCAGCCCCCUAUUAUCACUCACAACACUACAGAGCUAUAGUAUCCAGAACAGCCCCCUAUUAUCACUCACAACACUAUAGAGCUAUAGUAUCCAGAACAGCCUGCUAUUAUCACUCACAACACUACAGAGCUACAGUAUCCAGAACAACCCCAUAUUAUCACUCACAACACUACAGAGCUAUAGUAUCCAGAACAGCACCCUAUUAUCACUCACAACACUACAGAGCUAUAGUAUCCAGAACAGCCCCAGAUGAUCACUCACAUAACUAUAGAGCUAUAGUAUCCAAAACAGCCCCCUAUUAUCACUCACAAUGCUAUAGAACUAUAGUAUCCAGAACAGCCCCUUAUUAUCACUUACAACACUAUAGAGCUAUAGUGUCCAGCACAGCCCCCUAUUAUCACUCACAACAUUACAGAGCUAUAGUGUCCAGAACAGCCCCAUAUUAUCACUCACAACACUACAGAGCUAUAGUGUCCAGAACGGCCCAGCACCCUGUUAUCACUCACAACACUACAGAGCUAUAGUAUCCAGAACGGCCCAGCACCCUGUUAUCACUCACAACACUGCAGAACUAUAGUAUCCAGAACGGCACAGCACCCUGUUAUCACUCACAACACUGCAGAACUAUAGUAUCCAGAACGGCACAGCACCCUGUUAUCACUCACAACACUGCAGAACUAUAGUAUCCAGAACGGCCCAGCACCCUGUUAUCACUCACAACAGAACUGAGUUGACAACUAAACUCUCUACUUAAACUCUCUCGCUCUCCUACUCUGAGACGGCCAGUGGGCAAAUGUCUGUGCCCCACUAGACCAGUGUGUCCCCCCUCUAACCCGCAUCCUGCACCCCCACUUGGUCCUCCUACGGGAGGGGUCCCUGGCUGGAGACCGACAACGAAAAAUGUAAUUUAAGUUGUGUGAACCCUGUCCAUGCCAUGUGCAUCAUAUAGUGGAGAGUAUAGUGGGAUUUAUUAUGAUGUGUUCUGUUUUCAUUUGUUUUGUUCCCUCCUUUCUGCUUUACCUCCGUUGAGGUUCUCCGUAAACCAUUUACGUCAACUGUUUACCGUUAACCACUAAACUCUGGCAUCCGUCAGAGAGAUUACUCCUGUUCUCAACAGCUUCCAUUACUGAAGGUUUGUGUCAUGUGUGUCGUGUGUGUGUGUGUGUGUGUGCAUGCAUGCGUGUGGAGAAUUAACCUUUUGCCAUGAUGCGGAUAAAAGUUUAGGAAAUUAGAAGGAGUUUAGUGUAGGACCCAAGGUCACAAUGCUUUCAAAUCAGAUUAAUUCUGAAGGCUCUAAAAUUAUCCUCUAGUACAUCUGUAGAACGAAUCGACCAAACGGCCUGUGUGAUGAUGAAUAGUUCUGUAUUUAUUAAAGUUUAAUGAGGCUGAAUGGAAAUAGAUUAGGACAUUUGUCUGGUUUUCUCUCUGCCAGAAGAGACGUGUGAGAAUCCAUCUUGGCUCGGUCUUGGGAAUAGAGGUCAUAACUCACCUGAUGUUUCUCAAUCCAAUCCUGUGGUUUUCCAUAUUCCCGUUUUUGUGAAUGUCUGUUGUGGUUGUUGAUGCUGUAAACGUCAAUCACAGAUGGAAGGAUUAGAUUAAGGUAUUUAGUUUUGUUAUCUUUCCCUCCUUCUCUUCUUCUUCAUCAGUUCAUGCCCAGACCUCAUUAUCCCCAUCCACAGUAACUAGGCUGGAGUAUGGUCGUGUGGUACACUCUUAGAAAAAAGGGUUCCAAAAGGGUACUUCGGCUCUCACCAUAGGAGAACCCUUUGGGCUCUAGGUAGAACUAUUUUUGGUACAAUGUAGAACCCUUUUGGUUCCAUAUUGAACCCUCUGUGGAAUGGGUUUUACAUGGAACCCAAUAGGGU
rnacentral:lncRNA from 1 species